rnacentral:rRNA from 1 species
UCUUCCUACGGGACGCAGCAGUAGGGAAUCUUCCACAAUGGACGAAAGUCUGAUGGAGCAACGCCGCGUGAGUGAAGAAGGGUUUCGGCUCGUAAAGCUCUGGUGGUAGGGAAGAAAGAUAGAGGUAGUAACUGGCCUUUAUUUGACGGUAAUUACUUAGAAAGUCACGGCUAACUACGUGCCAGCAGCCGCGGUAAUACGUAGGUGGCAAGCGUUGUUCGGAAUAACUGGGCGUAAAGGAUGCGGAGGCGGGGAAACA